GUCAUUUUUCGCACAAACGUGCUGUGCUGGGAGUUUUGCAGACCUGACGUUUUGCUAGAAGGGCAAACAUUUCAGCUCCUCUCCAUCCGAGCACAGUGCAGCUAUUGGCUUUGCUUUAAAAACCAGCAUCGAAUCUUAAAACUGAAGUCCCAUUAAAAGCAUCUAUAAGGGUCAUGAAGCUGGUUGCGGGUUUAGCAGCGGUGUUGUGGCUGUGGGUUGCUGAGGCGGUAGAAAACUGUCCCAGCCUUUGUAAAUGCACUCAGAAAUCCAGUACAGAACGGACUGUGACUGUCAACUGUGAGAAGAGAGGACUCGAGACCAUCCCACCUGAAUUCCCACUGAACUCAUGGAUCCUUAAAUUGGGUGAAAAUGUACUACAUGACCUUCCGGCCAACAUUCUAACCUCCGUUCCAGAAAUCGAGAGCGUAAACUUUGAACGGAAUUCAAUUAAGUCAAUACACCCUCAAGCAUUCGCCGGUGCGCAACGACUGAUGCUUCUGAAUCUGCAAGGAAACCAAAUGUCCAAACUCCCAAUAAAGGGCUUCAAAGACCUCCUGAACCUUCGCUUUCUCAUGCUGGGCCAGAACCAGAUAGCUAGCCUAAACCCCAAUAUGUUUUUCGGCAUGAGGAAUCUGUCGGAUCUCGAUCUUCCUUUGAACUCCCUC